AUCCUCUUUGUAAGCACUGUGUGGCUGUGUUCUUACACUGACAGUACAGGAAGAGAAGGCAGAGUAAACCCACCCAAUAUACACCUCAGCCCAGGCCCUUUGCCUGGUCUGUAUUGUGAAUGGGGGGACAUGG